rnacentral:lncRNA from 1 species
CCCGGGAUUGUCUCAAAGAACAUUGACAAGGCACUUUUUGAGGCUUUCAACCCAUUGAACAUCUCUGAUUACAACUCCAUCUUUUGGAUUGCACACCCCGGUGGGCCUGCUAUUCUUGACCAAGUUGAGCAAAAGUUAGGUCUCAAACCUGAGAAGAUGAAGGCCACUAGAGAUGUGCUUAGUGAAUAUGGGAACAUGUCAAGUGCUUGUGUUCUUUUCAUCUUGGAUGAGAUGAGGAGGAAAUCUGCUGAAAAUGGACUUAAAACCACAGGUGAAGGACUUGAAUGGGGUGUGUUGUUCGGUUUUGGACCUGGACUUACCAUUGAAACUGUUGUUCUGCGCAGUGUGGCCAUCUGAGAUGCCUAAUAUAUUAUUUCAUUAUUGUGUACCACUUUUCAAACUUGCUGGAGUUUGUA